rnacentral:rRNA from 1 species
GACGAACGCUGGCGGCGUGCUUAACACAUGCAAGUCGAACGAUGAAGCUAGAGCUUGCUCUGGUGAAUUAGUGGCGAACGGGUGAGUAACACGUGAGUAACCUGCCCCGAACUCUGGGAUAACUGCUGGAAACGGUAGCUAAUACUGGAUACGACCUACGAAGGCAUCUUCUGUAGGUGGAAAGAAUUUCGGUUCGGGAUGGACUCGCGGCCUAUCAGCUUGUUGGUGAGGUAAUGGCUCACCAAGGCGACGACGGGUGGCCGGCCUGAGAGGGUGACCGGCCAGACUGGGACUGAGACACGGCCCAGACUCCUAGGGGAGGCAGCAGUGGGGAAUAUUGCACAAUGGGCGCAAGCCUGAUGCAGCAGCGCCGCGUGAGGGAUGACGGCCUUCGGGUUGUAAACCUCUUUUAGUAGGGAAGGAGCGAAAGUGACGGUACCUGCAGAAAAAGCACCGGCUAACUACGUGCCAGCCGCCGCCGUAA